GGUUUUGCAUGAAGCAGCAGAACAUGAUGAAGCAUUUUUCCCCCAUCUAAAGAUCCAGUCGUGCUCCAGUUUGCAGAGGGCAAGGGGCUGGUUGCAGGUGGUGCUGGGAGGAUGGAGUAGAGAUGGGGUUUCACCGUGUUAACCAGGAAUGUCUCGAUCUCCUGACCUCGUGAUCCACCCGCCUCAGCCUCCCAAAGUGUUGGGAUUACAGGCGUGAGCUACCACGCCCGGCCCUAGGCUCCACAACUCUAAGAAGCUUUGGUGAGUAAACAGGCCUGAAGAGGUGAAAUCAUUUGCCAAGCACAGAACCAGGAUUCAAAACUUUGCAGUCUGGCUCUAGAAUGCCACCCCGUCCCACCUCAGGACUGGCCCUCUCCUGGGAAUUCCUUUCUCCCUCAUCCUCCAUGUCCUUUCUCUGUGGAGCCGUGUGCCCUGCCCAUAUCUAAGUACAUGUCCUGGGAUCCAGGGGAUGACAUAUACUGGAGUCCCUGGUGCCCAUGCCUUCUGACUCCUCCUAGACCAUGAGCUGAGGGGACAGAGAGUGGCUCUUGCACCUGGGGGGCUCAGGGUGUGUACAGUGGGUGAACAAAUGGGGGGACAUUUGAGGCCCAGGCAGAAGGACACAGAAUGUUCCCUGGUGGCAGCUUAGGAGGGGGCAGGGGCUGGGCAGAGGGGGCAGUUGUGUCCUUCCCUACCUGAACCUCUUCUACUCUCUGGGUCCACCGCCAUGAAAUUAUUCAUUCUGCCACAUUCUCUUGCACCCUGGCUUUCUGUCUGAAAUCCUUUCUCUGCCCCAGUAUUCACUCUCCGACUCUUCAGCUCACUCCUCUUAAUCCUUGAGACGUUCCAGGUUACCUGCUCCCUCAGGAGCUUUGCUAACCCCAAGGUUGUGAUAACUGCUUUCUUUAGGCUCCCACAGUUGCUCGUUCUAAUCCCAACACGGUAUUUGAAGGGCUAUUUAUUUCUCUCCUGACUGGACUGUUGGGAGCUUUGUAAGGGCAAGAGCCAUCUCUUAUUUAAUGUUGUAUUCCUAGGGCCUGGUACCAGAGUAUUAGUAAAGCUUGUUGAAUGAAUAAAUGCGAUUCAGCGGUGACUUCCCAUAGAUGCUACUCCAUGUUAUUCAUGUCACUGUAAUCCAUCUUGGGCUGCAUUUCACAAGCCAGCAUUGAAGAAAGCUGGGCUCAGAGAGCCUUAGAGACCAUCAGUGGUACAGAUGAGGAAACCGAGGGCAGGCCUGGUUCUCACUGCCUCGCCUCUGGUUCUGCGACUGGAGCUCCGUGAGGACAGGAACCAGGACUUGGAUGUUGUUUUCUGGCUUGGCAGGGUGCUUUGCCUGUGAUCACAGUCAUUGCCUUUUACUAGGUGCUUAUAAGGUGCCAGCCCCUUUAUGUGUUUUUCCACGUUUGCAUAUCCACAGGGAAGGGAGGUGCAAUUAUCCCCAUUUACAGAUCAACAAACAGGUGUAGGGAGGUUAAGUAAUUUGGUUAUUUAUCAGUGUCUUCUGGUUCCUUUCAUAAAUUUAUCUGGGUUCCACUGUAGCCUCACAACAUUGUCAUCAAACCCACUUUCGGCGGUGCAGUGGCUCACACCUCUAAUCCCAGCACUUUGGGCGGCCAAGCGAGAGGAUCGCUUGAGCCCAAGAGCUCGAGACCAGCCCAGGCAACACAGAAAAACCUCAUUUCUACAAAAAAUAAAAUAAAAUAAAAAUAGCUGGGUGUGGUGGCGCGCCUGUGGUCCCAGCUCCUCGGGAGGCUGAGGUGGGAGGAUCGCUUAAACCUGGAGAGGCGGAGGUUGCAGUGAGCCGAGAUCACGCCACGGCACUCCAGCCUCGGCAACAGAGCGAGACCCUGUCACAAACGAACACUCUCCAGAGGGGGAAACCGAGGCCCUGGGACUGCAGAACCGGUUUCUCUGCCUCGGCAUACUGCCUCGGCUGGCUCUGCGCUUGAUAGAAUCGCGCCAGCAACAGCGCCCCCUGCAGGCGACGGCGGGCACGCCUGCGUCACAGCCAUCCCCGCCCUUCCGCAGUGGGAACGCCCGAAUGCUUCAUCCGGCCUCGGAAGAUUGAAGAGCGCUCCUCCAAACUGGCUCAGGGAAGCCGGGCGCGCCGCCUUCAGCCCCGCCUUGGCCGCCGCGGCGUCGCAUCAGUGGCAUCCCCAGGGGCUGCAGGAAGGUAGCCGUAGCCUUGGCUGUCGUGGCUUCCCUCAUCGUAACGGCCUGGGGGCAGCGGUGCUCAAAGAACUCAGGGGGUGGGGCUCAGGUAGGGGCAUGGCCGGUGCUCUUCCUAGGGGCGGGAUCCUGGGAAAGGGGAUCGUCCCAGAAGGACCCAGCCACAAGCGAGGACACCGGUGCAUCAAGCCCUGGCGCCUGUGUUUCCGUGAACAGCGCCCUUCUCCUCCUCCCCAGACAUUGGUCCUGGCACCUGUGUGUCCGUGGGCAGCAGCCUCUUCCUCCUCCCCAGACCUCAGUUUCUGCACGUGUGAAAAGGGGGCUCUUCCAAGACUCUUACAUGAAUGCAAAAAUCGGGAUUUCGUCCAGCAUGCUCAGAAUUGUCGACCCUACACAGGCACCUGAGAAAUCAGAGCUGAGUCAGGAGAGCCGGUGUGGAUGUACUGGGAGCUCCUUCCCUUGCUGCGUCAGCACUCUUGAGACUGGAGAGCCCUGGAGGUUGGGGACCGGCCACUUGCUGGUGGACCAGACUCCCUGCAGUCUGGGAUGGUGACAGACAUGAGACAUGGCUGUGGAAGUAAUUGGUAACAGUAGUAGCCCGCAUUUAUUGAGCACUGACUAUGUGCUUGGCUUUGUGUGAAGGCCAGUCACAUGCAUUAUUUCCCCCUCCCACAGCCUUGUCUGGUGGGUACUGCUAUUCUGUCCCCAGUUUACUGAUGAGACAUUUGAGGCCCAGAGUUGCUGGGUAGUAACCAGUCCAAAGUCACCCUGCUGACAAGUAGCUGAAGCAGUAGUCCCCAGUCUUACCUACUAUACUGUACUGAGAAAGGUUUGACCUGGAAGGCAGAAUGGCAGAGGGGGAAAUGACAAGGUUCUAGCAGUAUUAAUAAUAGAUACCAUGCAUUGAGCACCCACUAAGUGCUGGGUGCUGGCCCAAGGGCAUUUCAUGAAUCAUUUAUCCUCCUGACAGUGAACCCUAUACUGUAAAUUUUAUUUCCAUUUCAAAGGUGAAGCUCGGAGAAGUCACUUUAUAUGCCUUAGGGCACAUAUAGUAAAAAACUAACUUUUCGAUUCAUUGAUGGUGCAUUCUGCCUGCCUGCAUGUCACUCUUAGGCAUAUUCCACUCUUCUCUGAGUCAAGCUUUCUCCUACUGUGAAAUGAGAGGCUUGGACUGGGAGACUUUGAAUGUUCUUUCCCCAGCCGAUGUUGUUUGAUUUUAGGGAGUUUUGACAUGAAUGUUGGAGAUCUGGAUUUGAGGAUUACAUUUGUUCCUAAUUAACUGUAAUUUAGGCACAUCUCUGCAUCUCUGGGCUUCAGUUUCCGCAUUAGUAAAAGGUAAGACUAGACCAGGCAUGUUGGCUCAUGUCUGUAAUCCCAGAACUUUGGGAGGCUGAGGAGGAAGGAGGAUUGCUUGAAGCCAGGAGUUUGAGUCCAGCCUGGGCAACAAAACAAGACCCUGUCUCUACAAUAAAAAAAAAUUAAAAAGUUCAAAUUAGCCAGGUGCAGUGGCUCAUGCUUGAAGUCCCAGCUACUUGGAGAGCUGAGGUGGGAUACUCACUUGAGCCCAGGAGUUUGAGGCUGCAGUGAGCUAUAAUCAUGCCACUGCGCUCUAUCCUGGGCAACAGAGCGAGGCCCCGUCUCUAAAAAGAAAAUGGGCUGGGCACGGUGACUCACACCUGUAAUCCUAACACUUUGGGUGGCUGAGGUGGGAGGAUCACUUGAUCCCAGGAGUUUGAGACCAGCCUGGGCAACAUGGCAAAACCCUGUCUCUACGAAAAAUACAAAAAACUGGCUAGGCAUGGUGACAUGUACCUGUGGUUCCAGCUAUCUAGCUAUCCGGGAGGUGGAGGCAGAAGGAUCACCUGAGCCCAGGAGGUUGAGACUGCAGUGAUCCAUGAUCACGCCACAGCCUUGGCAACAGAGUGAGACCCUGUCUCAAAAAAAAAGAAAAAAAAAUUACAGAGAUUAGCAUUUCCAAUCACCAGAGUGCCUUCUGGCUUGAAUAUUUUAUGACUGCAGAUGAAGAGACAACCUGAGGUUCAGCAAACUGCAUCCUCUGAGAAAGUCUAAUGAACGUAAAUCUGCUACCUUACUCAGAAUGUCCCUGGCACAAGUUUCCAAGGAUAGACCCUCUGUGUGAAGGGGAGCAGCUGCCUUUGAGCAAUCAGCAGUAACUGCUUGGGGAGGCUUAGUCCCCUAAUAGUUCAGAAGUCACCUCCAAGGUCAGACGGACCCACAGCUGAACGCCAACACUUCCACUUCUCGGAAAGCCCAACGUGUAAACUGAUGACAGACUAUCCUGGAGGAAGAGGUGGGGCAGCCUGGAGUUUUCCUCUGGACAUCCUGAGAGGGAUACUGAAGCACUCAGGAGGGGUCUUAGACCUGCCCAAGCUCACUCACACAGUUUGAGAAGAGCUGCGCUUAGACCACAGGCCUCUUGGCUCCUGGGAAGCUGAGAGCAUCGGCGUGGGAGUUCGUCAGACAGGGGCAAGUUCCAACCGCAGCUCAGUGACCUCAGACAAGCCCCCUCACCUCGCAGAACCAGGUUCUUCUUCAGAGUUGUAGGAAGGAGUGGAGGAGGGUCUCCGCAUGUCAGAUGUCCACACAGUGCCUGGGAGCUGAGGUUGUCAUGGUUACCAAGAGGCCAGUCUCAGGGCUGCUGUGAUGACCUGGGCUGCUCUCCCAUUCCCAAGAAGGGGAGAACUCCUCAGAUUCCCUACUCUGCUCUUCUUGCUCCCUCCCAAGCAAUACAUGAGCAGGAAUUUGUCCUCUGCAGGAAUGUGCAGCGAGAAAGUCUCCUUUUUUGAUGAGACAGCGAUGAGGUGAUGUCUGGUUUUUUAUAUCCUCACUUGCUGAACUGGUGCCAGAUGUAAGAGUCCAGGCUGGAUUCCAUUAGCCAUAUUUGUCCUCUGGGCUCCCAGCCCUGCAGGACCUUCUGGGGGCCCACCUUGAGACCCUCCAGUUGGUAAGAAGUUGGCUGGGGCAAAUGAUGCAGCCCUAAGACGAACCAUUUCCACUGGGGACUCAGGCAGGGUCCCUGAGAGCCUGACUUACUCGAGUCUUUUCUUUAAAAAUUAAAAAAACAAGGCUGGGCGCGGUGGCUCACGCCUGUAAUCCCAGCACUUUGGGAGGCCGAGGCGAGUGGAUCACGAGGUCAGGAGAUUGAGCCCAUCCUGGCUAACAUGGUGAAACCCCUUCUCUACUAAAAAUACAAAAAAUUAGUCGGGCAUGGUGGUGGGCACCUGUAGUCCCAGCUACUCAGGAGGCUGAGGCAGGAGAAUGGCGUGAACCCGGGAGGUGGAGGUUGCAGUGAGCCGAGAUCGCACCACUGCACUCCAGCCUGGGCAACACCGUGAGACGCCAUCUCAAAAAAAAAAAAAAAUUAACAAAACACAUUGAUCUUUUUUUUUUAUUUUUACCGAAGUAAGAAACCCUUUGAAGUUUAGGAGCUGCAACUAAUCCACGUUGAAGGCUAAUCGGAGGCCUAGAUAGGUUAAUACCUUUCCCAGAGGAACCCAGUGGUAAAUGUAAAUGUCAGAUUGAUCAAUUGUAGAUUGAACUUCAGAAGCUGGAGUCCUCAUUACUAUUCUGGGGUGAUGGUCGACUCUAUUUGCUCAACAGAAGGAUCAGUGGCCUGGAGAAUUUGAGAUAGUUGGUGAUAACAUUAUAGGAUUCUAUUUUAAAUGGGAAAGAAAUUCCUAAAAGUUAAACGCAUGUUAAAAAAAACUAUAUUAAGGCCGGGUACAGUGGCUCUUGCCUGUAAUCCCAGCACUCUGGGAAGCCGAGGUGGGAGGAUCGCUUGAGCCUAGGAGUUCCAGAUUAGCCUGGGCAACACAGUGAGACCCCAUCUCUAAAAAAAAGAACAAAAUUAGCUGGCAUGUCAUUGUGCACUUGUAGUCUCAGCUCCUUGGGAGGCUGAGGUGGGAGGAUUGCUUGAGCACAGAAGGGUGAGGCUGCAGUGAACUGUGAUCACACCACUGUGCUCCAGCCUGGGUGACAGAACAAUACCUUGUCUCAAAAAUAAAAAAAUUCAUAUACAAAAAUGCCUGAGGUAUACAAUGAAAGCUCUUGAAAGCCACUGUCUACAGAUAAGCAUUAGAGCCACUUACACAGAUUUUUUCAGAUUUUUCUAUGCAUUUAUAUGUUAAAAUUUAUAUUUUUAAAAGAUUAACACUAUACAUUCUGUUUUGCAGUUUGCUUUUGCAAAUAGCAGUAGCUCCUGAAAUGUGGAAAUUCUUUACCUGGCUGAUUCAUGACAAACUUGGUGGGAGAAGUAGCUGAUGGGGAAGGGACUCAGUCCUCGGGCUGGCCUUGAAGGAUGAGGACAAGAAUGCUGCAGUCGCCUGGCCCUGGGCAUCCUGCCCUGGCCUUGGAGAGGAGCUGCAUUCUGCAGAGCCAGAAGGAGGACAAGAGAGGCAGCCUGCCCAAGCACCAGGCUGAGCCUCUGCAGUCCCUGCCAGGAGAAGACUUACAGCCGCCGGGAGCUUGGGAAGGUUACAGAGAAAAAGCCUCUCGCAGCACUUGGGAGGACACUGCCUGCAGCACCGCGCCUGCUGUGGGCCUGCUCCAGGGUCAGGGAAGCCUCUGAGGGACAGGCUUGGGGCACAAGGGUGGGUGAGGGGCAGGGGAGAGAGUGUACUCUCUGGGCCAGGACCCCGGCACACCUAGCACACAGACCAUGGGGAGGGUGCCAAACACAGGACUUGGCUACAUUUUGUUACUGUCACUUUGAGUAUUACCUGUGCAAUCGAGCAGGCUUUAUGGAUCUCAGACUGCCCAGGACUUUUCUGGCUGCUAUGGGAGGAUGUAAGAUUUACCAAGAACACCAGCCACCACCCAGAAAGCAGGUUUCUCAUGUGAGCCCUGCGCCAAGCACUGUAUGUGCACAUGCCAGAUUUUAAUUUGCUGUGGGGAGGUGCUUUUAUACUCGCCACUUGACAGUGGCCCCCAAAAAGCCAAGAAACCUGUCCAAGGCCCAUGGGAUCAGCAGGUGUUGAUUUAAUACUGGUACCCCCAGUUGCAGAGUCCCCAGCCUCAACCAUAGGCACUCUCCUCUGCCCCCCGGGGAGGGACUGCCACCCUGACUCAGGGAUGACCUCUGCGAGAUGAGAGCAGAGGGGUUUUGUUCUGUUUCAACCUUUUUUGUUGUUUGUUUUUGAGACGGAGUUUUUGC